CCUUCACACUUGUCAAUGUAGAGUUCUUCUUAAUUAACUGGUCUGAAGUAAACACAUACACAAUGUUUCCACAAGAAGAACCCUCAACUAACUCCCUUUUAUCUCCUAUCCAAAUAAGGGAACUCUUAAUGCAUUUGAUAUACAAAUCUUUUCUUUCACCAAUACCAUAGCUGGGACUCAAGAAUUGGACAUUCAUUCCAGAUGUGACUUUCCCGGAGAAGACACGUCCUAAAGCAAAAUACCUGCCUUUGCCUAAUGCUAGGGUCAUCUUGGAAACAUAAAGAACAAGGGGCCCUUCAGCAUCACAAUUUCUAACAGAGGUAUGGUAAAUGUUGUCAAGAUCCACACCAAAAUUCCCAACACAAUGUCUUUGCGCCUUCUCUGGAGAGGGGAUGUGGUACAUCAUCAUCUCAGAAAGUGCACUGCAUGCUGGCAGCCAAGCUUGGAUCACAUACUUUACGAGUUCAAUGCCAACAAGUUCCUUAGCUGGAGAACUCACAGUGACAUGAAUCUUUUCUAGCAUAGGCCACAAUUUGUGCUUGCUAUUCAUGCAGGCGUUCAUGAUCUCUCUGAUAGGUUCAUAGCAAAACUGAACAAAGCCCCUCUUGCAUGUAGCUGUGCCAGUGUUCUUUUUUGUCCAUUUCUUUGUGGCCAGGUCAAAGAAGUUCUCACCCCAUAAUCUGUCUAUCAUCUUAGAUUCCUCAACUUUGAAUUUGGAGGAAUACAUCUUAGCAAAAUUAGAAAUUGCAACUGCCCAUCCGUGCAGACCAGAUGAGAACACAACAGUUCCCUUAGUGGGAUACACCUGAGCAUCUUUGUGUGAAGACAUGGUAGCAUUGACACUAUCAAUUAGACUGGAGAGGGUCUGAUAAGCUUUCUCACCAUCAACAUUCUGCUCAAGGAAGAAUCUGUCGAUCUUAUUCAGAGUAAAAACAGGCUGAAUCUUCAUAUUAAGAGCCUCACGAAUAGAAGUCUUGGUCCAUAAAGUAACACCCUCAAAACUGUCCACUACAACUAGAGCACCAUCCAUUAUGCAAAGGGCAGGUUGGACAUCAUUAGACAAGUUGCAACACACAGGAGAGUCAAUAAGAUUGAUCAAGUGUCCGUUACCAGCUCUCUUAUCCUUGUAGCUUCUCAGAGAAUCUUCAGGCAUUUCAUAGUACAGAGAAAUUAGGCUAUUGCUUUCAGUAACUUCCUGGGAAAUGCCACGUCGUAAAUGUGAGAAUUAAUGUAAUUUCAUAAACAAACAAGUAAAACAACCACAUUUUAAGAAUCUCACACCACUACAUUUCAAUCUUACCAUGGCCAGCAUCAGCAAUAACCAAUACAUUCCGAAUGUUGUUCUUAUUGCACAUAAUGCUGUGAAGUUCUUCCGCUGUGACCACCAUCAUGUCGAUUUACUUCAUGUAUCCCUGC
rnacentral:sRNA from 1 species